rnacentral:rRNA from 1 species
GGUGGCGUAGGGUAGGGUCCUGUAAUUUUUUCCUGUUCUCGAGCUAAGUUUAGUUUGGGUUAGGACGCGAUGCGUAGCGCGAAGAAGGCAGGCACGCAAGCGGUCUCGACUCUCAAACUCCUCUACCGCCCGCCGCCACAGCUCCUGCAGAUGCCGCUCCUGUCCCGGUGGCUCCUCGUCGAGUAGUGCGGUACCAGUAAGAGGCAGCGUUCACCCGUGGUCGAAGACUCCCUGGGGGCCGUGUUGUUCCCCGACCGGAAGUGGCUCCGCCUCGCGCUGCGCGUGAUGUAGGCCCCCGAGGAGGGCGGCCGGUAGCAGAGAGUCCUCGUGGUCCUCUUCUUCUAGUACGUGUUGGAGGCGUCAAUGUGGCACGGGGACGUAGCGAUGCAGCGGUACUACCUGGAGGUCCUCUCCUUGCUCUCCGAGAAGAUGUUCGAGGAGUAGCUGUUGCAGCUCCUCGACGAGGGGCAGCAGAUGUGCGGGCAGCAGCCGCUCCGGACGGUCUUCAUGCCGUCGUAGAUGGCGGCGGGCGUCCCCGAGAUGUAGUCGGAGUUCCUGUUCCCGUUCCACGAGCUCCACGAGUUCUUGACCGGACUCUCCUCGUAGGUCCAGUAGCAGCAGUGGCUGCCGCUCGCGUAAAACCCCGAGCCUCUAGACCCGACGGUCCCAUACCCAUAGGGCCAACCGUUUGACAGAGACAUGUGGCGGGAGCCUCCUCAAGCGGGUAGUCGAACGGACGGUUAAUGGUAGCUACAACCGUGGUUGUUACUCUGUAACGAGUUGCUGCUCAUGAUGUAGCCCGAGGCAGUUGCCGCACGAUGGCCGCUCCUUAUGGUACUCGAAGAAGUUCUCAAGUACUUACGUCACUUCGUUUUGAUGCCGCUCUUUCAGGACCAGGUCAAACUCCUGAAACGGUUGGUGUUACGUAAGCUAAACGAGCGUUUCAUGUCGUUCUCGGUAGAGCAGAAGUUGCUACUAUAAGUCCCGUGUCGUAGUCACCAGGAGCGUCCGGAGAACCGCCGGGACUUCUACUAGCCACCUCCGGAACACCUAGUCUGGAUGGAGAAGGAACCACGACCUCUCCGACCUUGACCGUAACGUCUCGAGUAACGAGAACUCUACAGCUUUGUGUGACUUGAGGGCCACCUGCUGACGGCGUUCUUCUAGACCGACCACCUGAGGUUCCCAGACGAACAACUCAGGUCUUUUCUCAGAGACGUCGUGAAGUUCUUCGGCAAGCGAGUACUCGUGCUUCUUGACUUCUGGGACGACCUCCGGCAGGUCAGGUAGUUCGGUUGGCACGACUAGCCUUGGAGGCCGCAGCCCUUCUGGAAGUGGGUUCUUCACUAGCUCCGGUACCGGAGGAAGUUGCUCUUUGGGCAGUAGAAGAGCGACAGCUUGGGUUGCAGCGUGAGCCUCACGUGCCGGCUCCUCCGGAUGUGGACCUCGUUCCCGUGCCGCCACAAGCGCUCGCCGUCGGGCAAGCUGGGGCACCUCAUGCUCCCCUUCUGCAUGCACGGGCCCGUCAGGUUGUUGCGGAUGCACAAGGGGCCGAAGCCGGAGCCGCAGCAGUAGAGGCCGCGGUAGGCGCAGGUGCUGCUGUACGAGGAGCGGCGGAGCCUCCGCGACCGCCUCCUCCGCUGGGUCCUCUUGAAGCUGUUCCCCGAGUAGAAGGGCGGGAAGUGGUUGUAGGCGUUCUAGAGCCGGUCGUAGCGGCGGUUCCACCGGCGGUUCCGGAUGCUGGACCCGGACCGGUCGGCCGACGGCGCCGGGCUGCUGGACAAGUUCAUGCGGCUCUCGACGUACAUGUGGGGCGAGAUGGCGUCGAUGUCCACUCGCGCCGCCGUCAAAACGCCGCUCCUGCCUGCCUCAGUCAGUUAUUUUAGUUAGAGGAAGGGGGUAUACGGUUGGUCGAGUUCCAAGUCGCUGCGUUGGAUUUUGUAUCCGAACAAAAAAGACACAGGCAGAUACGCAUACACAUGAGAACACGACAAGAUGAAACGAAAUGAAAACAUGACAUUACAUGACAAAUGCCCUCGUGCCGUGCGUGCGUGGACAGAUAGACACAGCUCCACGCAGCAGCAGCAGCUAAGAAAACAGUCUAACUCAAUUUGCUCACAUUAUCAAACUACUAAACACAAUGGUCCCAACGAGAAAAUGAAAGGUGCGAGCUGUUUACACGACUUCGUAAUCCUACACAAACACCUGCGACUUAAAGGCUCGAGCUCGAGUUUAAUCGAGUCCACUUGUCAUUUUAGGUUUUUAUAAUUUUAUUUUAAAUUUUUUAAGACCUUAAUAAGGUCUCGUUUGUAACUAUUUACAAAAGCCACGAGUAUUUUAAGGUAGUUUCUUACUGUAAGCACCUUCUCCACCGUUGUUACUGUAGGCGCUUACAGUAAAGUACUACUUUUAAAAGUUCGUGAACUUUGUAAACAGUUUUAAGUAAUUUUUUUAGUCAAAAAAGGUAAAUAAAAAUAAAAAAACACUCGAACUACAACCAGCACUCGAGUUCGAGCGCUCAUCUUCUACUGAAAACACACAAACCAGGAGAGAGGUUGUACGUAGUUUGUACAAAGUCAACGCAGUGUAAGGUAGCGGCCACUCGUACGUAGUUUGUACACAACCAGGAGAGAGUUUCGGGUGGAGUUUCUAUACUCGUUUGUGACCGGUAGCAGGAGUAGCUAGGUAGAUAGCGCAAGGAGGGCAGAGACAUCCCGACCAGAAGCUCCCAUACAAACUAUCGGACGUAAUCCAGGUUGGUUUGGGUGCCCCACGUUUUUACAGGAUAAACUAUCGGAUAUAAGUGACAAACCAAUCGUAUCGUGUUUUGAAUUUCAUGGGAUGGUCCGUCCGAGCAACCUUGUCACCUUAGCGGGCAAAGGGGAGUCGGUUUGAGCCUGCUAUGUUCCUUCCCCUUGUGCCGCAGUUCGAGUACUCUCGUUCCUCUACCACGCUCUAGCACGCGCAGGGAUUUUUAGACGUCCUUCUUAAACACCGGUGGAGGACGGCUUAGCCAGCGGGAUAUGUCGGUGGGAGCCGAGUGCUGGGUUUGAGCGCGGGGGAGUAAGCUCGAGAGGCAAAACGCGCCUAGCAGUAGCUGCUCGUCCAUUCGCUGUGCAGAAGAAGCCGACCGCCAGCUGUUACCGCUGCUAAACAGAAGAAGGACAAAGGCUGGUCAAGGUGCGGAGGUAGCCCGAAUUAGCUACCAACAUUCAAGCCAGUCAGGCAGGAAGGAUGAUUAAGAUAGAAUCUAUACACUCGUACACCAUCGUGAUAUCUGGCAGCUAGGUACUCUUACACUACAAAACCAUCGAUCACAACUACUUAACCAUCGUACUAUCCACAACGAACAUUCGAAACUACUACAAGUACAACAAGGAACAGUUGUUCCUACUAUGGUACCAUCUAAACCAUGAUCGGAGACUUAGCCUCGUACACAUCAUACGAUCAAACGUUCAUACAUCCACACCAUCACACAACUUGAAGUACCGUACGAUACUCUAACUUCUAGUCAGUAUCCCACUACACAACUUGAAGUACCAGGUACACAUUAUACGAAUGAUAGGUACGCAUCACCAGGAAGAAUGACAGGUACACAUCACACAAAGUGUUUAGCACUGCGAUUGCGAACAUCCUGUACUCCAACGUUCUAAAAUCGGUAAAGUAACAGAACAAGCUCUCGGUUAAGGGCAGUAGGAUAAAACUCCUGGGGAUCGGAUACUGGCUCCUAGUCUAUAGAGACUUAAUCUAAGGGAGCUCCCCAGACGUUCCGCAGAUGGUAAACACGGAUCGUGUAUACACAGUCUACGCAGAUUACAACAACGAAGAUGUGUAUUCCGUUGGUGGUUCCGAUCCUCCCAUUUCUACCGACCCUCCCCCUUGAGUUACUUUACAGUCAGCAAGAAUGAUGAAAGCACGAAUUGUUUAUACAUUCUAGUAUCAGUUGUCCCAUUCCUGACUAUUCCCGAAGUUCCUCCACGUGAACUUUAGACAAAGGUUCUUCCACAAACUGUACACCGGUUCUCCAGUGAAGCUGUGUUCAGACGUUAGUGGAGUCCUUCACCUCACGGUCUACCUAGGACUAUGCAGAGGUUGCAUAGAUAUUAAAAAAUAACAAAGUACGACAAUAUAAUAGUAACAGUCUACAAAAUGUUAGUAAGAUAUCGUUGAAAUAUAGUAAAAACCCCUGAUUGGAUAACUGUAUCACGGAUCACGGUCAACGACAAAAAACGAACAGAAAAUGAAGCGUCUUUUAGUUAUGGUUUGCCUCAGGUUGUGUCGCUUUUGAAAAACCUAUAAAAAAGACCUGGUCUUCCGCGUGCUACUUGGUUCC